rnacentral:rRNA from 1 species
GACGAACGCUGGCGGCGUGCUUAACACAUGCAAGUCGAACGGUCCUGUUUUUGAAGCGCUUCGGCGUGGAGGGGACGGGGCAGUGGCGCACGGGUGAGUAAUGCGCGAGGACCUGCCCGCAGGAGGGGGACAGCAGUUGGAAACGGCUGGUGAUACCCCGUAGGCCGGGAGGUGAAAGGGCGGAGACGCCCGCCUGCGGAUGGACUCGCGUCCUAUCAGCUAGUUGGUGAGGCAACGGCUCACCAAGGCGACGACGGGUAGCCGGCCUGAGAGGGUGUCCGGCCACACUGGAACUGAGACACGGUCCAGACUCCUACGGGAGGCAGCAGUGGGGAAUUUUGGGCAAUGGGGGAGACCCUGACCCAGCGACGCCGCGUGAGGGACGAAGGCCCUUGGGUCGUAAACCUCUUUUGCAGGGGAAGAAGAAGAUGACGGUACCUUGCGAACAAAGUCCCGGCUAACUACGUG